UGAGAGAAGAACCUUCUAGAUUUUUAUAAUACUAAUGUGUCACAGAGUUAGCAAAAUGUAAUGUAAAUUAACAAAUCAAGAAUGAAGAUUGGAGUUCAUACAGACCAAACAUGAUACCCAUGUGAUUUUAGUUAACCAUAGUAUGCAACUCUGAGACAUUAAUACAAGAGUUCAAAAGAGAGAAUUAAUACAAGACGUUAUUAAUGCAUAUGUAACAGGAUUAGGUGAUUGACAGCAGUGCCUAUCAGUGAAUAGUACCUCCUAUUUAAAGGCCGAUUGGCUGUUACCUGGGAUGCGUCACGUCCGUUUUCCCCCUUUGUUUUGGCUGUGUUGACGGUGGCUGUGGGUAAGUGUGCUGUGUUUUAAUAUGGUGACUUAGACAUUGUUGGCGUGCAUAAUCUGAUAACUGUUUAUUUAAUUAGAGUGCAGUUUCUAUAUUCUGGUGUUGCUGCCCUUUUGGUGCUGCUUAGUGGGUUUGAUGACUGUUUGCCUCUCAGUAUACAUGACUUCCUGUACCCCAUGGUGGUAGCGGUGGGUAUGACUGUGACAAGCCCGUGCCUAUGAAGCAUUUUAUUCGGCGUGAUAUCCUGAUGGAUUCUCCCUCUCGUUCUAUGUUGUGAUUGUUUGCUGCCUUGAUCGUUUAUGCCGUGAUUGUUUGCUGCCGUGAGCACUUGCUGCUGUCUUCGCGCUGUUAACAGAGCGGCGGUCCAUACAGCCGCGUCGACGAAGUCAUCAACGUUUAUUAAAGGGGACUGCUGGUUUGAUUCUGUUACGUGCCUUUCUAGUGCCCUGCUUCACGUUUUGGUUUAUUUUAUUAUUAGUUAUCAUGGUUAAAUCAUUUAACCUUUUUCUUUUUCUUUAAGUUUGUGGACAUUUGUUUGAUUGUAUUGCUUUGAUCUUUCUUUUUUUUUUUUUUUUGUGAAACUACAAUCUGUCGAUAUGUGCAUGUUUAAUCUAUGAAUGCAAUUCAAAUCGUGUGGUGAUCUACUGUAUAGAAGUUGGUGUUUGUAACAAUUUCAGGUGAUUAACUAUCUGAUUUUCUGGUUACAUUGUUGCUUCUCCUCACUUCUGUUUGUUGAUACCACUUAUGUGAGGAGUUGCUGCAUUGCUGUUCAUAUUGCCAUCUCUGCCCAGUUUAUUUUCAUAGUUAUUUAUUUUCUUUUUGAUUUAUUGCAGGAGCUGGGGUCCCACGGGUGGUUUGAUCUUCCUCCUUGUGGAGGUGGUUCUCCUUCAUCGUGUGCGGUGUACACCUUGAGUGUUUGAUAGUGUGAUUAGAGUGCACGGGUGUGUGUGCGCGUGGAAGUGUGCUCUUGUGAAACCAAACUCUACAUUGAUCCCAGCCGUUGGGAGCCUCAGCCCCUGCUGGUAUUACUCCGUCUUUGUUUUACAUAUAUACACACACAAAUACAUACUACUUCAAGUUGGUUUUGUUUGAUAUCUUUCUCUUUUUGUAAUUUGUGUUCUUGUGUUUGAAGUGGGGUUUCAUGUAUU